GCCGCUGUAGCCCAGUUGGUAGAGGCGGCGCUAAUACAGAUGGCGAUGUUCGCUGGUUCAAAUCCAGCCUGCGGUG